rnacentral:rRNA from 1 species
UUAAGCGACUAAGCGUACACGGUGGAUGCCCUGGCAGUCAGAGGCGAUGAAGGACGUGCUAAUCUGCGAUAAGCGUCGGUAAGGUGAUAUGAACCGUUAUAACCGGCGAUUUCCGAAUGGGGAAACCCAGUGUGUUUCGACACACUAUCAUUAACUGAAUCCAUAGGUUAAUGAGGCGAACCGGGGGAACUGAAACAUCUAAGUACCCCGAGGAAAAGAAAUCAACCGAGAUUCCCCCAGUAGCGGCGAGCGAACGGGGAGCAGCCCAGAGCCUGAAUCAGUGUGUGUGUUAGUGGAAGCGUCUGGAAAGGCGCGCGAUACAGGGUGACAGCCCCGUACACAAAAAUGCACAUGCUGUGAGCUCGAUGAGUAGGGCGGGACACGUGGUAUCCUGUCUGAAUAUGGGGGGACCAUCCUCCAAGGCUAAAUACUCCUGACUGACCGAUAGUGAACCAGUACCGUGAGGGAAAGGCGAAAAGAACCCCGGCGAGGGGAGUGAAAAAGAACCUGAAACCGUGUACGUACAAGCAGUGGGAGCACGCUUAGGCGUGUGACUGCGUACCUUUUGUAUAAUGGGUCAGCGACUUAUAUUCUGUAGCAAGGUUAACCGAAUAGGGGAGCCGAAGGGAAACCGAGUCUUAACUGGGCGUUAAGUUGCAGGGUAUAGACCCGAAACCCGGUGAUCUAGCCAUGGGCAGGUUGAAGGUUGGGUAACACUAACUGGAGGACCGAACCGACUAAUGUUGAAAAAUUAGCGGAUGACUUGUGGCUGGGGGUGAAAGGCCAAUCAAACCGGGAGAUAGCUGGUUCUCCCCGAAAGCUAUUUAGGUAGCGCCUCGUGAAUUCAUCUCCGGGGGUAGAGCACUGUUUCGGCAAGGGGGUCAUCCCGACUUACCAACCCGAUGCAAACUGCGAAUACCGGAGAAUGUUAUCACGGGAGACACACGGCGGGUGCUAACGUCCGUCGUGAAGAGGGAAACAACCCAGACCGCCAGCUAAGGUCCCAAAGUCAUGGUUAAGUGGGAAACGAUGUGGGAAGGCCCAGACAGCCAGGAUGUUGGCUUAGAAGCAGCCAUCAUUUAAAGAAAGCGUAAUAGCUCACUGGUCGAGUCGGCCUGCGCGGAAGAUGUAACGGGGCUAAACCAUGCACCGAAGCUGCGGCAGCGACACUAUGUGUUGUUGGGUAGGGGAGCGUUCUGUAAGCCUGCGAAGGUGUGCUGUGAGGCAUGCUGGAGGUAUCAGAAGUGCGAAUGCUGACAUAAGUAACGAUAAAGCGGGUGAAAAGCCCGCUCGCCGGAAGACCAAGGGUUCCUGUCCAACGUUAAUCGGGGCAGGGUGAGUCGACCCCUAAGGCGAGGCCGAAAGGCGUAGUCGAUGGGAAACAGGUUAAUAUUCCUGUACUUGGUGUUACUGCGAAGGGGGGACGGAGAAGGCUAUGUUGGCCGGGCGACGGUUGUCCCGGUUUAAGCGUGUAGGCUGGUUUUCCAGGCAAAUCCGGAAAAUCAAGGCUGAGGCGUGAUGACGAGGCACUACGGUGCUGAAGCAACAAAUGCCCUGCUUCCAGGAAAAGCCUCUAAGCAUCAGGUAACAUCAAAUCGUACCCCAAACCGACACAGGUGGUCAGGUAGAGAAUACCAAGGCGCUUGAGAGAACUCGGGUGAAGGAACUAGGCAAAAUGGUGCCGUAACUUCGGGAGAAGGCACGCUGAUAUGUAGGUGAAGCGACUUGCUCGUGGAGCUGAAAUCAGUCGAAGAUACCAGCUGGCUGCAACUGUUUAUUAAAAACACAGCACUGUGCAAACACGAAAGUGGACGUAUACGGUGUGACGCCUGCCCGGUGCCGGAAGGUUAAUUGAUGGGGUUAGCGCAAGCGAAGCUCUUGAUCGAAGCCCCGGUAAACGGCGGCCGUAACUAUAACGGUCCUAAGGUAGCGAAAUUCCUUGUCGGGUAAGUUCCGACCUGCACGAAUGGCGUAAUGAUGGCCAGGCUGUCUCCACCCGAGACUCAGUGAAAUUGAACUCGCUGUGAAGAUGCAGUGUACCCGCGGCAAGACGGAAAGACCCCGUGAACCUUUACUAUAGCUUGACACUGAACAUUGAGCCUUGAUGUGUAGGAUAGGUGGGAGGCUUUGAAGUGUGGACGCCAGUCUGCAUGGAGCCGACCUUGAAAUACCACCCUUUAAUGUUUGAUGUUCUAACGUGGACCCGUAAUCCGGGUUGCGGACAGUGUCUGGUGGGUAGUUUGACUGGGGCGGUCUCCUCCUAAAGAGUAACGGAGGAGCACGAAGGUUGGCUAAUCCUGGUCGGACAUCAGGAGGUUAGUGCAAUGGCAUAAGCCAGCUUGACUGCGAGCGUGACGGCGCGAGCAGGUGCGAAAGCAGGUCAUAGUGAUCCGGUGGUUCUGAAUGGAAGGGCCAUCGCUCAACGGAUAAAAGGUACUCCGGGGAUAACAGGCUGAUACCGCCCAAGAGUUCAUAUCGACGGCGGUGUUUGGCACCUCGAUGUCGGCUCAUCACAUCCUGGGGCUGAAGUAGGUCCCAAGGGUAUGGCUGUUCGCCAUUUAAAGUGGUACGCGAGCUGGGUUUAGAACGUCGUGAGACAGUUCGGUCCCUAUCUGCCGUGGGCGCUGGAGAAUUGAGGGGGGCUGCUCCUAGUACGAGAGGACCGGAGUGGACGCAUCACUGGUGUUCGGGUUGUCAUGCCAAUGGCACUGCCCGGUAGCUAAAUGCGGAAGAGAUAAGUGCUGAAAGCAUCUAAGCACGAAACUUGCCCCGAGAUGAGUUCUCCCUGACUCCUUGAGAGUCCUGAAGGAACGUUGAAGACGACGACGUUGAUAGGCCGGGUGUGUAAGCGCAGCGAUGCGUUGAGCUAACCGGUACUAAUGAACCGUGAGGCUUAACCUU